CGGGUACGUUAAUAGCGUAUUCGUUUGACGUUAGCGACAGAAGAAAGCACCGGCUAACUCCGUGCCAGCAGCCGCGGUAAUACGGAGGGUGCGAGCGUUAAUCGGAAUUACUGGGCGUAAAGCGCAUGCAGGUGGUUUGUUAAGUCAGAUGUGAAAGACCCGGGGCGUCAACCUCGGAAUAGCAUUUGUAAACUAGGCAGACUAGAGUACUGUAGAGGGGGGUAGGAAUUUCAGGUGUAGCGGUGAAAUAGCGUAGAGAUCUGAAGGAAUACCGGUGGCGAAGGCGGCCCCCUCGGACAGAUACUGACACUCAGAUGCGAAAGCGUGGGGAGCAAACAGGAUUAGAUACCCUGGUAG
rnacentral:rRNA from 1 species